UACAGGGGGUGCAAGCGUUGUUCGGAAUCAUUGGGCGUAAAGCGCGUGUAGGCGGACCGUUAAGUCUGGUGUGAAAGCCCUCGGCUCAACUGAGGAAGUGCAUUGGAUACUGGCGGCCUUGAGUCCUGGAGAGGGUAGCGGAAUUCCCAGUGUAGAGGUGAAAUUCGUAGAUAUUGGGAGGAACACCGGUGGCGAAGGCGGCUACCUGGACAGUGACUGACGCUGAGACGCGAAAGCAUGGGUAGCAAACAGGAUUAGAUACCCUGGUAGUCCAUGCCGUAAACGAUGGGUGCUAGUUGGUGCGGGUAUUGACCCCUGCGCUGACGAAGCUAACGCGUUAAGCACCCCGCCUGGGGAGUACGGCCGCAAGGCUA
rnacentral:rRNA from 1 species